GAUGAACGCAGGCGGCGUGCCUAAUACAUGCAAGUAGAACGCUGAAGGAAGGAGCUUGCUCUUUCCGGAUGAGUUGCGAACGGGUGAGUAACGCGUAGGUAACCUGCCUGGUAGCGGGGGAUAACUAUUGGAAACGAUAGCUAAUACCGCAUAACAGUAGAUGUUGCAUGACAUCUGCUUGAAAGGGGCAAUUGCUCCACUACCAGAUGGACCUGCGUUGUAUUAGCUAGUUGGUGAGGUAACGGCUCACCAAGGCGACGAUACAUAGCCGACCUGAGAGGGUGAUCGGCCACACUGGGACUGAGACACGGCCCAGACUCCUACGGGAGGCAGCAGUAGGGAAUCUUCGGCAAUGGACGGAAGUCUGACCGAGCAACGCCGCGUGAGUGAAGAAGGUUUUCGGAUCGUAAAGCUCUGUUGUAAGAGAAGAACGAGUGUGAGAGUGGAAAGUUCACACUGUGACGGUAUCUUACCAGAAAGGGACGGCUAACUACGUGCCAGCAGCCGCGGUAAUACGUAGGUCCCGAGCGUUAUCCGGAUUUAUUGGGCGUAAAGCGAGCGCAGGCGGUUAGAUAAGUCUGAAGUUAAAGGCUGUGGCUUAACCAUAGUACGCUUUGGAAACUGUUUAACUUGAGUGCAAGAGGGGAGAGUGGAAUUCCAUGUGUAGCGGUGAAAUGCGUAGAUAUAUGGAGGAACACCGGUGGCGAAAGCGGCUCUCUGGCUUGUAACUGACGCUGAGGCUCGAAAGCGUGGGGAGCAAACAGG
rnacentral:rRNA from 1 species